rnacentral:rRNA from 2 species
GGGUUGUGAGGUUAAGCGACUAAGCGUACACGGUGGAUGCCCUGGCAGUCAGAGGCGAUGAAGGGCGUGCUAAUCUGCGAUAAGCGCCGGUAAGGUGAUAUGAACCGUUAUAACCGGCGAUACCCGAAUGGGGAAACCCAGUGUGAUUCGUCACACUAUCAUUAACUGAAUCCAUAGGUUAAUGAGGCGAACCGGGGGAACUGAAACAUCUAAGUACCCCGAGGAAAAGAAAUCAACCGAGAUUCCCCCAGUAGCGGCGAGCGAACGGGGAGGAGCCCAGAGCCUGAAUCAGCAUGUGUGUUAGUGGAAGCGUCUGGAAAGGCGCGCGAUACAGGGUGACAGCCCCGUACACAAAAGCGCAUGUGCUGUGAGCUCGAUGAGUAGGGCGGGACACGUGGUAUCCUGUCUGAAUAUGGGGGGACCAUCCUCCAAGGCUAAAUACUCCUGACUGACCGAUAGUGAACCAGUACCGUGAGGGAAAGGCGAAAAGAACCCCGGCGAGGGGAGUGAAAAAGAACCUGAAACCGUGUACGUACAAGCAGUGGGAGCACAGGUUUACCUGUGUGACUGCGUACCUUUUGUAUAAUGGGUCAGCGACUUAUAUUCUGUAGCAAGGUUAACCGUAUAGGGGAGCCGGAGGGAAACCGAGUCUUAACCGGGCGUUAAGUUGCAGGGUAUAGACCCGAAACCCGGUGAUCUAGCCAUGGGCAGGUUGAAGGUUGGGUAACACUAACUGGAGGACCGAACCGACUAAUGUUGAAAAAUUAGCGGAUGACCUGUGGCUGGGGGUGAAAGGCCAAUCAAACCGGGAGAUAGCUGGUUCUCCCCGAAAGCUAUUUAGGUAGCGCCUCGUGAAUUCAUCUCCGGGGGUAGAGCACUGUUUCGGCUAGGGGGCCAUCCCGGCUUACCAACCCGAUGCAAACUGCGAAUACCGGAGAAUGUUAUCACGGGAGACACACGGCGGGUGCUAACGUCCGUCGUGAAGAGGGAAACAACCCAGACCGCCAGCUAAGGUCCCAAAGUCAUGGUUAAGUGGGAAACGAUGUGGGAAGGCCCAGACAGCCAGGAUGUUGGCUUAGAAGCAGCCAUCAUUUAAAGAAAGCGUAAUAGCUCACUGGUCGAGUCGGCCUGCGCGGAAGAUGUAACGGGGCUAAACCAUGCACCGAAGCUGCGGCAGCGAACGUAUCACUUAAAGCGAUUCAGCGGGUUACGAUUGACGGAGCGAAGCGACGUCAAAGCGUAUACAAAGUCGAGUCGGUUUAAGGAUACGUUCGUUGGGUAGGGGAGCGUUCUGUAAGCCUGUGAAGGUGUGUCGUGAGGCAUGCUGGAGGUAUCAGAAGUGCGAAUGCUGACAUAAGUAACGAUAAAGCGGGUGAAAAGCCCGCUCGCCGGAAGACCAAGGGUUCCUGUCCAACGUUAAUCGGGGCAGGGUGAGUCGACCCCUAAGGCGAGGCCGAAAGGCGUAGUCGAUGGGAAACGGGUUAAUAUUCCCGUACUUGGUGUUACUGCGAAGGGGGGACGGAGAAGGCUAUGUUGGCCGGGCGACGGUUGUCCCGGUUUAAGCGUGUAGGUGUGUGUUCCAGGUAAAUCCGGUUCACUUUAACACUGAGGCGUGAUGACGAGGCACUACGGUGCUGAAGCAACAAAUGCCCUGCUUCCAGGAAAAGCCUCUAAGCAUCAGGUAACAUCAAAUCGUACCCCAAACCGACACAGGUGGUCAGGUAGAGAAUACCAAGGCGCUUGAGAGAACUCGGGUGAAGGAACUAGGCAAAAUGGUGCCGUAACUUCGGGAGAAGGCACGCUGACACGUAGGUGAAGUGAUUUACUCAUGGAGCUGAAGUCAGUCGAAGAUACCAGCUGGCUGCAACUGUUUAUUAAAAACACAGCACUGUGCAAACACGAAAGUGGACGUAUACGGUGUGACGCCUGCCCGGUGCCGGAAGGUUAAUUGAUGGGGUCAGCGCAAGCGAAGCUCCUGAUCGAAGCCCCGGUAAACGGCGGCCGUAACUAUAACGGUCCUAAGGUAGCGAAAUUCCUUGUCGGGUAAGUUCCGACCUGCACGAAUGGCGUAAUGAUGGCCAGGCUGUCUCCACCCGAGACUCAGUGAAAUUGAACUCGCUGUGAAGAUGCAGUGUACCCGCGGCAAGACGGAAAGACCCCGUGAACCUUUACUAUAGCUUGACACUGAACAUUGAGCCUUGAUGUGUAGGAUAGGUGGGAGGCUUUGAAGCGUGGACGCCAGUCUGCGUGGAGCCGACCUUGAAAUACCACCCUUUAAUGUUUGAUGUUCUAACGUGGACCCGUAAUCCGGGUUGCGGACAGUGUCUGGUGGGUAGUUUGACUGGGGCGGUCUCCUCCUAAAGAGUAACGGAGGAGCACGAAGGUUGGCUAAUCCUGGUCGGACAUCAGGAGGUUAGUGCAAUGGCAUAAGCCAGCUUGACUGCGAGCGUGACGGCGCGAGCAGGUGCGAAAGCAGGUCAUAGUGAUCCGGUGGUUCUGAAUGGAAGGGCCAUCGCUCAACGGAUAAAAGGUACUCCGGGGAUAACAGGCUGAUACCGCCCAAGAGUUCAUAUCGACGGCGGUGUUUGGCACCUCGAUGUCGGCUCAUCACAUCCUGGGGCUGAAGUAGGUCCCAAGGGUAUGGCUGUUCGCCAUUUAAAGUGGUACGCGAGCUGGGUUUAGAACGUCGUGAGACAGUUCGGUCCCUAUCUGCCGUGGGCGCUGGAGAACUGAGGGGGGCUGCUCCUAGUACGAGAGGACCGGAGUGGACGCAUCACUGGUGUUCGGGUUGUCAUGCCAAUGGCACUGCCCGGUAGCUAAAUGCGGAAGAGAUAAGUGCUGAAAGCAUCUAAGCACGAAACUUGCCCCGGGAUGAGUUCUCCCUGAGACUUAGAGUCUCCUGAAGGAACGUUGAAGACGACGACGUUGAUAGGCCGGGUGUGUAAGCGCAGCGAUGCGUUGAGCUAACCGGUACUAAUGAACCGUGAGGCUUAACCUUACAACGCCGAAG